rnacentral:rRNA from 1 species
GUGCCACCAGCCCGCGAUAAUACGUAAAGGGGCGAGCGUAGACCGGGAAUUACUGGGUCGUCAAGAGCUCCGGAGCCCGGAUUGUCCGUCGUCUGUGAAUCCUAGGGCUUAACCCUGGACGUGCAGGCGAUACGGGCUGACUUGAGUACUACAGGGGAGACUGGAAUUUCUGGUGUAGCGGUGGAAUGCACAGAUAUCAGGAAGAACACCGAUGGCGAAGGCAGGUCUCUGGGUAGUAACUGACGCUGAGGAGCGAAAGCAUGGGUAGCGAACAGGAUUAGAUACCCUGGUAGUCC